rnacentral:rRNA from 1 species
AAUGAACGUUGGCGGCGUGGAUUAGGCAUGCAAGUCGAGCGGAAAGGCCCGCAAGGGCACUCGAGCGGCGUAAGGGACAGUAAUGUGUAGGUAACGUACCCCUGGGUCUAGGAUAGCUGCGGGAAACUGCAAUUAAUACUAGAUAACGUCUCCGGACCAAAGGUGUGAUUCCACCUGGGGAGCGGCCUACAUCCUAUUAGCUAGUUGGCGAGGUAAUGGCUCACCAAGGCGAAGAUGGGUAGCAGGUGUGAGAGCACGACCUGCGUCACUGGGACUGAGACACUGCCCAGACACCUACGGGUGGCUGCAGUCGAGAAUCUUCGGCAAUGGGCGAAAGCCUGACCGAGCGACGCCGCGUGUGGGAUGAAGGCCUUCGGUUGUUAAACCGAAC